AGUCUUAUAUUCAUUUAAUAAUGAUAUAAAAUUGCAAAUUUUAAGGAGUAAAUAAUAUACUAAGGCUU
rnacentral:tRNA from 1 species